rnacentral:rRNA from 1 species
GACGAACGCUGGCGGCGUGCUUAACACAUGCAAGUCGAACGGAGUGGCGAACGGGUGAGUAACACGUGGGUGACCUGCCCUGCACUUCGGGAUAAGCCUGGGUAACUGGGUCUAAUACCGGUUAGUGUGGGAUGGGCCCGCGGCCUAUCAGUUUGUUGGUGGGGUAAUGGCUUACCAAGGGGGCGACGGGUAGCCGGCCUUGGAGGGUGGACGGCCACAAUGUGACUGAGACACGGCCAAGAGUCCUACGGGGGGCAGGAGUGGGGAAUAUUGCGCAAUGGGCGGAAGCCUGAUGCAGCGACGCCGCGUGGGGGAUGUCGGGCUUCGGGUUGUAAACUCCUUUCACCAUCGACGCGGUAGAUGGAGAAGAAGCACCGGCUAACUACGUGCCAGCAGCCGCGGUAAUAC